rnacentral:rRNA from 1 species
UGAUGACGAGACGCUAAGGCGUUGAAGCAGUGUAUGUCAGACUUUCAAGAAAAGCUCGCGAUGUCACAAGUAAAAAAUGCCUGUACCAUAACCGACACAGGUGGGUAAGUAGAGUAUACUAAGGGGCGCGAGAUAACUCUCUCUAAGGAACUCGGCAAAAUGACUCCGUAACUUCGGGAGAAGGAGUGCCUUAUUUAUAAGGUUGCAAUAACAAGAUCCAAGCAACUGUUUAUCAAAAACACAGGUCUCCGCUAAGUCGUAAGACGAUGUAUGGGGGCUGACGCCUGCCCAGUGCCAGAAGGUUAAAGAAGUUGGUUAGUGUACGCGAAGCUGAUGACUGAAGCCCUGGUGAACGGCGGCCGUAACGAUAACGGUCCUAAGGUAGCGAAAUUCCUUGUCGGGUAAGUUCCGACCCGCACGAAAGGCGUAAUGAUUUGGAUACUGUCUCGGAGAGAGGCUCGGUGAAAUAGACUUGUCUGUGAAGAUGCGGACUACCUGCACCAGGACAGAAAGACCCUAUGAAGCUUUACUGUAACUUGAAAUUGGAAUUGGACUUUGCUUGCGCAGUAUAGGUGGGAAGCGUUGAAAAUAUUCUUGCGGGAGUAUUGGAGCUAUCAGUGAGAUACCACUCUUGUAAUGUUAGAUUUCUAACUUUGAACCAUAAUCUGGUCAAAGAACAGUUUCAGGUGGGCAGUUUGACUGGGGCGGUCGCCUCCCAAAUGGUAACGGAGGCGUACAAAGGUUUCCUCUGAACGGAUAGAAAUCGUAUCUAGAGUGUAAAGGCAUAAGGAAGCUUGACUGUGAGACCUACAAGUCGAGCAGGGACGAAAGUCGGUCUUAGUGAUCUGACGGUACUGAGUGGAAAGGCCGUCACUCAACGGAUAAAAGUUACUCUAGGAUAACAGGCUGAUCUCCCCCAAGAGUUCACAUCGACGGGGAGGUUUGGCACCUCGAUGUCGGCUCAUCGCAUCCUGGGGCGGUAGUACGUCCCAAGGGUUGGGCUGUUCGCCCAUGAAAGCGGUACGCGAGCUGGGUUCAGAACGUCGUGAGACAGUUCGGUCCAUAUCCGGUGUAGGCGCUAGAAUAUUGAGAGGAGCCUUCUUUAGUACGAGAGGACCGAGAAGGACACACCGCUGGUGUACCAGUUAUCGUGCCAACGGUAAACGCUGGGUAGCUAUGUGUGGAGUGGAUAACCGCUGAAAGCAUCUAAGUGGGAAGCCCACCUCGAGAUGAGUAUUCUCU